GACGAACGCUGGCGGCGUGCUUAACACAUGCAAGUCGAACGGAAAGGCCCGGCUUUUGUGGGGUGCUCGAGUGGCGAACGGGUGAGUAACACGUGAGUAACCUCCCCUUGUCUUUCGGGUAACUUCAGGGAACUGGGGCUAAUACAGGAUAGGAGCUCCUGCUGCAUGGGGGGGGAUGGAAAAAUUCGGCGGUUGGGGAUGGACUGGCGGGUUAUCAGCUUGUUGGGGGGGUAGUGGCGUACCAAGGCUUUGAAGGGUAGCAGGCCUGAGAGGGUGACCGGCGACAUAGGGACUGGGAUACGGCCCAGACUGCUACGGGAGGCAGCAGUGGGGAAUAUUGCACAAUGGGCGGAAGCCUGAUGCAGCAACGCCGCGUGCGGGAUGACGGCCUUCGGGUUGUAAACCGCUUUCGCCUGUGACGAAGCGUGAGUGACGGUAAUGGAUAAAGAAGCACCGGCUAACUACGUG
rnacentral:rRNA from 1 species